rnacentral:rRNA from 1 species
CCUACGGGAGGCAGCAGUGGGGAAUAUUGCACAAUGGGGGAAACCCUGAUGCAGCGACGCCGCGUGAGUGAAGAAGUAAUUCGUUACGUAAAGCUCUAUCAGCAGGGACGAAAAUGACGGUACCUGAGUAAGAAGCCGCGGCUAACGACGGGCAAGCAGCCGCGGCAAUACGUAGGGGGCAAGCGUAAUCCGGAUUUACUGGGUGUAAAGGGAGCGUAGACGGCGCGCCAAGUCUGGAGUGAAAUGCCGGAGCUUAACGGCGGGACUGCUUUGGAAACUGGCGAACUAGAGUGCUGGAGGGGUAAGCGGAAUUCCUGGUGUAGCGGUGAAAUGCGUAGAUAUAAGGAGGAACACCGGUGGCGAAGGCGGCUUACUGGACCGUAACUGACGUUGAGGCGCGAAAGCGUGGGGAGCAAACAGGAUUAGAUACCCGAGUAGUC